UACGUAGGGUGCGAGCGUUGUCCGGAAUUAUUGGGCGUAAAGGGCUCGUAGGCGGUUUGUCGCGUCGGGAGUGAAAAUCCAGGGCUUAACUCUGGACUGGCUUUCGAUACGGGCAGACUAGAGGUAUGCAGGGGAGAACGGAAUUCCUGGUGUAGCGGUGAAAUGCGCAGAUAUCAGGAGGAACACCGGUGGCGAAGGCGGUUCUCUGGGCAGUAACUGACGCUGAGGAGCGAAAGCGUGGGGAGCGAACAGG
rnacentral:rRNA from 1 species